rnacentral:rRNA from 1 species
AGUGAACGCUGGCGGUAUGCCUAACACAUGCAAGUCGAACGGCAGCACAGUAAGAGCUUGCUCUUACGGGUGGCGAGUGACGGACGGGUGAGGAAUACAUCGGAAUCUACUUUUUCGUGGGGGAUAACGUAGGGAAACUUACGCUAAUACCUCAUACGACCUACGGGUUAAAGCAGGGGAUCUUCGGACCUUUCGCGAUUGAAUGAGCCGAUGCCGGAUUAGCUAGUUGGCGUGGUAAAGGCCCACCAAGGCGACGAUCCGUAGCUGGUCUGAGAGGAUGAUCAGCCACACUGGAACUGAGACACGGUCCAGACUCCUACGGGAGGCAGCAGUGGGGAAUAUUGGACAAUGGGCGCAAGCCUGAUCCAGCCAUACCGCGUGGGUGAAGAAGGCCUUCGGGUUGUAAAGCCCUUUUGUUGGGAAAGAAAAGCAGCAGGUUAAUACCCCGCUGUUCUGACGGUACCCAAAGAAUAAGCACCGGCUAACUUCGUG